UUCUGGCUCAGGAUGAACGCUAGCGACAGGCUAACACAUGCAAGUCGAGGGGCAGCAUAAAAGUAGCAAUACUUGGUGGCGACCGGCGCACGGGUGAGUAACGCGUAUGCAACCUACCUAUCAGAGGGGAAUAACCCGGCGAAAGUCGGACUAAUACCGCAUAAAACAGGGGCACCGCAUGGUGAUAUCUGUUAAAGAAAUUCGCUGAUAGAUGGGCAUGCGUUCCAUUAGGUAGUUGGUGAGGUAACGGCUCACCAAGCCGACGAUGGAUAGGGGAACUGAGAGGUUGGUCCCCCACACUGGUACUGAGACACGGACCAGACUCCUACGGGAGGCAGCAGUGAGGAAUAUUGGUCAAUGGGCGGGAGCCUGAACCAGCCAAGUCGCGUGAAAGGAAGAAGGAUCUAUGGUUCGUAAACUUCUUUUGCAGGGGAAUAAAGUGCAGGACGUGUCCUGUUUUGUAUGUACCCUGAGAAUAAGGAUCGGCUAACUCCGUGCCAGCAGCUGC
rnacentral:rRNA from 1 species